GACGAACGCUGGCGGCGUGCCUAAUACAUGCAAGUCGAGCGAAGUUUUUCUGGUGCUUGCACCGGAAAAACUUAGCGGCGAACGGGUGAGUAACACGUAAAGAACCUGCCUCAUAGACUGGGACAACUAUUGGAAACGAUAUCUAAUACCGGAUAAUAGCAUUAACUGCAUGGUUGAUGUUUAAAAGUUGGUUUUGCUAACACUAUGAGAUGGCUUUGCGGUGCAUUAGCUAGUUGGUGGGGUAAAGGCCUACCAAGGCGACGAUGCAUAGCCGACCUGAGAGGGUGAUCGGCCACACUGGGACUGAGACACGGCCCAGACUCCUACGGGAGGCAGCAGUAGGGAAUCUUCCGCAAUGGGCGAAAGCCUGACGGAGCAACGCCGCGUGAGUGAAGAAGGAUUUCGGUUCGUAAAGCUCUGUUGUUAGGGAAGAAUGAUUGUGUAGUAACUAUACACAGUAGAGACGGUACCUAACCAGAAAGCCACGGCUAACUACGUG
rnacentral:rRNA from 1 species